UGGUUCCAGCGAACUGCUGAUGCUGUGCGACAACCAAAAUGCCUUUCUUCACAUCUCCUAUAUAUAUUAAAGCUUCUUCUGCGAUGGAGGUACCCAAAGAUGCCUUUCUUCACAUCUCCUAGAUUCUUGCCACCAACCAAAAUGGAAAAAUUCAGGAGAUCGUCGUUGAUGAUGGCAUUAUCUCACACGGAUGCUUCUUGAACAAAUCAAGCAUCCAACACUCAAUUGUGGGUGUUCGUUCAUGCUUGGAGAGUGGUGUGGAGCUUCUGGAUACUAUGAUGAUGGGUGCAGACUGCUACUAUCAAACUGAAUCUGAAAUUGCAUCUCCGCUAGCUGAGGGAAAGGUUCCCAUCGGUGUUGGACGGAAUACCAAGAUCUAGUGAGAUAAUGAACCAAGAAGCUAUCCUAGUUUGGAUCUGAACAAAAUGGAAGGUCAUAGGUUUGAAUUAGAAACAAACUCUUUGUACAAGCAAGAGAAAGACAACUCUCCCCAACUCUCUUACAAGGUGGGGAGCCUCAUAAUGGGGGGUCUUUUAACCCCAAGAUAUAUAUAAAACAUUACUUAUAUGGACUAUGAGUUGAUGUCAUACUCGUAGCAUUCUGACUGAGGUUGUGGGGGUUGA